AUGGUCUCAGCAAUAUUUGGCCCCAGGAGUUCCAAUCUCAACCAAAGCAUGCUGACAAAGCUGAAGGCCAUUUAUACCCUAGUGGAACAACUCUACACCGGGUCACAACGCGCCUUAGCCGUCGUGGCUCUGUCAAAUGAAGUUCCCACUCAUCUGGCAGAUGUGCUAAGGCUUGCUGUGCUACCUCAACGAUUCCAGGAAUUCAGACGAGCUUCUGCAAGAGCCGGAGCCAUAGCUGCAUUAAGCCGGGCCAAGGCGUGGCUACCGGAGCUAGACUCGGCCGACAUCACCCUUGGGUAUCCCAGUUUGAAGGAGGACGGCACCCCCUUUGACCAGAAGGAUUUCGCCGCUUGCGUGAAGGACAUACGCCCUGUGGCCACUCUGAUCGGUAAUGACAUGGAUCUUACCAAAUACCAACCAGGUUAUGACGCCGAGAAUCAGAGAAUUCCAACACCACGUUAUGAAGCAAUCAGCCUGAUCCCUCCCACUCGUAAGCAUACCUUCGCCCCUGACGUUGAUCCGGCCGGGUUAAUUGAUGAUAAAGCUGAAUUUGAAGCCUUGAGUGGCAUUGACUGGAAAUCAUCAACCUUCCAGGACAGGGAAACAGACGAAGGAGCGGAAAGGGAUGAACCGGAAGCUUCAGCCCAACAACACCUUUGA
rnacentral:rRNA from 1 species